rnacentral:lncRNA from 1 species
UCCUCAACUAUAUUUUUUCAAAUCAAUAAUGUUAAACUUUAUUGAUCUGUUUGGAAAACAUGAGCUUGACAAUUUGAACUUAGAUGUCAUUUGUUAUAUUAACUUUGAGAAUGAAAAUACAUAAAUUAGUUCAUAUUCAUUGUAAUUAUAUAUUUGAAAGAUGGGUAUGAAUUUCAAAUUCACCAAUAUAUAAGCAUCAAACAAAUCAAUGAAUUUAAAAAAUAAUCAUAAAUACUACAUCUAAUGUGUUU